rnacentral:tRNA from 1 species
GCCCUUUUAACUCAGCGGUAGAGUAACGCCAUGGUAAGGCGUAAGUCAUCGGUUCAAAUCCGAU